rnacentral:tRNA from 1 species
AUAAACAAAUUAAUGCUGAAGGUAAAGUUAGAAGCUUUACAUGGAUAUUUCUU